AACGAACACUGGCGGCAGGCUUAACACAUGCAAGUCGAACGCACCGCAAGGUGAGUGGCAGACGGGUGAGUAACACGUGGGGAUCUGCCCAAUGGUAUGGAAUAGCUCCGGGAAACUGGAAUUAAUACCGUAUGAGCCCGCAAGGGGAAAGAUUUAUCGCCAUUGGAGGAAACCGCGUCGGAUUAGCUAGUUGGUAUGGUAAAGGCGCACCAAGGCGACGAUCCGUAGCUGGUCUGAGAGGAUGAUCAGCCACACUGGGACUGAGACACGGCCCAGACUCCUACGGGAGGCAGCAGUGGGGAAUAUUGGACAAUGGGCGCAAGCCUGAUCCAGCCAUGCCGCGUGAGUGAUGAAGGCCUUAGGGUUGUAAAGCUCUUUCGCCGACGAAGAUAAUGACGGUAGUCGGAGAAGAAGCCCCGGCUAACUUCGUGCCAGCAGCCGCGGUAAUAC
rnacentral:rRNA from 1 species